ACCAUUGUAGUAAAAAGAUUAUUAUGUUGUUUUGAUGGAGCAGAGUUGUGUGUGGUA
rnacentral:tRNA from 1 species